CAUUGGAUGACGAUGACGUUGUGGAAACGGUUAAGCAUUUUAACUGAGUUUUCUUCAAACUCAACUCGAUGCGGCAGCAGAUCCCGCCUGCAGUUUCAGAUCCGCGACUGCUUCUGCACGUACACUGAGAGA
ensembl:snoRNA snoRNA:Me18S-A1494